rnacentral:rRNA from 1 species
GAUGAACGCUGGCGGCGUGCCUAAUACAUGCAAGUCGAGCGAACGGACGAGAAGCUUGCUUCUCUGAUGUUAGCGGCGGACGGGUGAGUAACACGUGGAUAACCUACCUAUAAGACUGGGAUAACUUCGGGAAACCGGAGCUAAUACCGGAUAAUAUUUUGAACCGCAUGGUUCAAAAGUGAAAGACGGUCUUGCUGUCACUUAUAGAUGGAUCCGCGCUGCAUUAGCUAGUUGGUAAGGUAACGGCUUACCAAGGCAACGAUGCAUAGCCGACCUGAGAGAGUGAUCGGCCACACUGGAACUGAGACACGGUCCAGACUCCUACGGGAGGCAGCAGUAGGGAAUCUUCUGCAAUGGGCGAAAGCCUGACGUGGCAACGCCGCGUGAGUGAUGAAGGUCUUCUGAUCGUAAAACUCUGUUAUUAGGGAAGAACAUAUGUGUAAGUAACUGUGCACAUCUUGACGGUACCUAAUCAGAAAGCCACGGCUAACUACGUG